rnacentral:lncRNA from 1 species
UCUUUUCAUUUUUUUUUUUUUUUUUUUUUUUUUUUUGAGACUGUGUCUUGCUCUGUCACCCAGGCUGAACACAGCUCACUGCACCUGCACCCGUAACCUCCUGGGCUCAAGUGUUUCUCCCAAGUAGCUGAGACCACAGGUGUGUGCCAUCAUUCCUGGCUAAUUAAAAAAUUUUUUUUCGUGUGUAGAGAUGGAGUCUCUUUAUGU